UGAACACCUCCACACCCCUCCACCCACACAAUUAUGGGGUGUGCGAAAGGGACACAGGAGCCAAAUGAAAGAGCUCCCAAAGUCCAAAGCUGGAACCAUUUGAGCAAAAAAUAAAGUGCUAUUGAAUAAUAAAUAACCCAAAUUAUAAAAUCUAUACUGUGUGUCUGUAUGUGAAAAAUAAAUGAUUGGAUAAAUGAGGAAGAAGAGAUAGAUCUCCCAUGCAGAAAAUUUCAAAUAAUUGAUGUGGAUACUCAGCCCUCAAGCAGGAGUAUAAGUCCUCGCUCCUUAAGUGGGGGCUGCACGUAUUGAUUUCCUUCCAAAGAGCGUGGAAACGGGGAAAAAUAAGGUUACAGUGGAAAAACUCUUACAGUGAAAAGCACUGCUUCAGCCAGAUGAUCAAAGUUAGCAUCAAC
rnacentral:lncRNA from 10 species